rnacentral:rRNA from 1 species
GAUGAACGCUGGCGGCGUGCCUAAUACAUGCAAGUCGAGCGAACAGAUGAGGAGCUUGCUCCUCUGACGUUAGCGGCGGACGGGUGAAUAACACGUGGAUAACCUACCUAUAAGACUGGGAUAACUUCGGGAAACCGGAGCUAAUACCGGAUAAUAUAUUGAACCGCAUGGUUCAAUAGUGAAAGACGGUUUUGCUGUCACUUAUAGAUGGAUCCGCGCCGCAUUAGCUAGUUGGUAAGGUAACGGCUUACCAAGGCAACGAUGCGUAGCCGACCUGAGAGGGUGAUCGGCCACACUGGAACUGAGACACGGUCCAGACUCCUACGGGAGGCAGCAGUAGGGAAUCUUCCGCAAUGGGCGAAAGCCUGACGGAGCAACGCCGCGUGAGUGAUGAAGGUCUUCGGAUCGUAAAACUCUGUUAUUAGGGAAGAACAAAUGUGUAAGUAACUAUGCACGUCUUGACGGUACCUAAUCAGAAAGCCACGGCGAACUACGU